GAUGAACGCUGGCGGCGUGCCUAAUACAUGCAAGUCGAGCGAACGGACGAGAAGCUUGCUUCUCUGAUGUUAGCGGCGGACGGGUGAGUAACACGUGGAUAACCUACCUAUAAGACUGGGAUAACUUCAGGAAACCGGAGCUAAUACCGGAUGAUAUUUUGAACCGCAUGGUUCAAAAGUGAAAGACGGUCUUGCUGUCACUUAUAGAUGGAUCCGCGCUGCAUUAGCUAGUUGGUAAGGUAACGGCUUACCAAGGCAACGAUGCAUAGUCGACCUGAGAGGGUGAUCGGCCACACUGGAACUGAGACACGGUCCAGACUCCUACGGGAGGCAGCAGUAGGGAAUCUUCCGCAAUGGGCGAAAGCCUGACGGAGCAACGCCGCGUGAGUGAUGAAGGUCUUCGGAUCGUAAAACUCUGUUAUUAGGGAAGAACAUAUGUGUAAGUAACUGUGCACAUCUUGACGGUACCUAAUCAGAAAGCCACGGCUAACUACGUG
rnacentral:rRNA from 1 species